AGUGAACGCUGGCGGUAUGCCUAACACAUGCAAGUCGAACGGCAGCACAGUAAGAGCUUGCUCUUACGGGUGGCGAGUGGCGGACGGGUGAGGAAUACAUCGGAAUCUACUUUUUCGUGGGGGAUAACGUAGGGAAACUUACGCUAAUACCGCAUACGACCUACGGGUGAAAGCAGGGGAUCUUCGGACCUUUCGCGAUUGAAUGAGCCGAUGUCGGAUUAGCUAGUUGGCGGGGUAAAGGCCCACCAAGGCGACGAUCCGUAGCUGGUCUGAGAGGAUGAUCAGCCACACUGGAACUGAGACACGGUCCAGACUCCUACGGGAGGCAGCAGUGGGGAAUAUUGGACAAUGGGCGCAAGCCUGAUCCAGCCAUACCGCGUGGGUGAAGAAGGCCUUCGGGUUGUAAAGCCCUUUUGUCGGGAAAGAAAAGCAGCAGGUUAAUACCCCGCUGUUCUGACGGUACCCAAAGAAUAAGCACCGGCUAACUUCGUG
rnacentral:rRNA from 1 species